rnacentral:ncRNA from 1 species
AUUAAGGGGAGCCUUUUUGGCUGAGAGGAUAUUUAGUUAUCGACCCAUGACCUGAUCUAGGUAAUGCUAGCGUAGGGAUAGUAUGGAA